GAUGAACGCUGGCGGCGUGCCUAAUACAUGCAAGUCGAGCGAACGGACGAGAAGCUUGCUUUUCUGAUGUUAGCGGCGGACGGGUGAGUAACACGUGGACAACCUAACUAUAAGAAUGGGAUAACUUCGGGAAACCGGAGCUAAUACCGGAUAAUAUCUUGAACCGCAUGGUUCAAAAGUGAAAGACGGUCUUGCUGUCACCUAUAGGUGGAUCCGCGCUGCAUUAACUAGUUGGUAGGGAAACAGCUUACUAAGGCAGCGAUGCAUAGCCGACCUGAGAGAGAGAUCGACGACACUGAGACUGAGACACGAUCCAGGCACAUACAGGAGGCAGCAGUAGCAAAUCAUGCGAAAUGGGCGAAAGCCUGACGGGGGAACGCCGCGUGAGUGAUGAAGAUCUUCGAAUCGUAAAACUCUGUUAUGAGGGAGGAACAUAUCUAGAAGUAGCGGUGCACGUCUAGACAAGACCAAAUCAGAAGGCAGUAGCUAACUACGG
rnacentral:rRNA from 1 species